UACAGAGGGUGCGAGCGUUGUCCGGAAUCACUGGGCGUAAAGGGCGCGUAGGCGGCUUGACAAGCGUGCGGUGAAAGCUCGGGGCUCAACCCCGAGUCGGCCGUGCGAACUGUCAGGCUUGAGCACAGUAGAGGCAGAUGGAAUUCCGGGUGUAGCGGUGGAAUGCGUAGAGAUCCGGAAGAACACCAGGGGCGAAGGCGGCCUGCUGGGCAGUGGCUGACGCUGAGGCGCGACAGCGUGGGGAGCAAACAGG
rnacentral:rRNA from 1 species